rnacentral:rRNA from 1 species
GACGAAGGGAGCGAGCGUUGUUCGGAAUCACUGGGCUUAAAGGGCGCGUAGGCGGCCUUGUAUGUCGGUUGUGAAAUCCCCGAGCUCAACUCGGGAAUUGCUUCCGAAACUGCAAGGCUUGAGGCAUUCUGGGGGCGACUGGAACUCUUGGUGGAGCGGUGAAAUGCGUAGAUAUCAGGAGGAACGCCGGUGGUGAAGACGGGUCGCUGGGAAUGUCCUGACGCUGAGGCGCGAAAGCUAGGGGAGCAAA